rnacentral:lncRNA from 7 species
UAUUUGAAGCCCCCCUGUUGCCCAGCUCCAGAAAUAACAGUGGAGCAAAGUUUCCGUGUUGACUCUGUCCUGAUUGCCAGCUCAAUGAAAAGAAGAAAGAGAGUCAUCUUGUGGUACAACGUAUGAAGUUUGUCAGGAAGUUCCUAUUUUUGCAGAGCGGAAUCCCAGACUGAACAUCAGGAUGCUGAAGAGAAGGCAAUGUAGUAGAGACUCCACAACUGUAUCCAUGCUAAUGUGCCAACCUUCUGGUUCUCCAAAAUCUGUACAUCUGCAAACUCCAUGGAAGAUACUAGCAGUCCUGAACUGUGUCUGUGUUAUCCUGUCAGGUCAGUCACUCAGUCAUUUGGAGGUAAAACAACUGGUAUAGUCCAUCACACUCUUGAGAACUGGAGAGGCUGAGUACCAUCAUGAGCUUGCUUGGGAAACUGCCUGCUGUCUCUACUUGUAAGCCGGUAAUUGGCAGAUUGUACCACAAUUAACCCUCUUGUGCUUCCUCAUCUUUCAAUAGAAAGACUUGUUUUGGUCUUG